AAGUCGUAACAAGGUUUCCGUAGGUGAACCUGCGGAAGGAUCAUUACCGAGUUAGGGUCUUCUGGGCCUGACCUCCAACCCUUUGUUUACUCUACCAUGUUGCUUUGGCGGGCCCGCCUUUUCGGGGGCCGCCGGGGGCUUUACUGCCUCUGGCCUGUGCCCGCCAGUAGCCCUCUCAAAUUCGUUUUAAUUGUGUUGUCUGAGUAUAAAUAUAAAUCGUUUUUAAAACUUUCAACAACGGAUCUCUUGGUUCUG
rnacentral:misc_RNA from 1 species